GCCGAAGUGGCGGAAUUGGCAGACGCGCACGUUUGAGGGGCGUGUGGGGUAACCCGUGCGGGUUCAAGUCCCGCCUUCGGCACCA
rnacentral:tRNA from 1 species